UCGGCUCUCUCUCUUUCUCUCAUUAUUAGAUAAAGGAGAGAAAUAUCUCUUUCAGUAUUAGAUAAUAGAGAGUAAUGGGAAACGCGUCGUCGAUGCUGACUCAGUACGAUAUCGAAGAAGUUCAAGAACACUGCGACAAUAUCUUUUCGCGGCAAGAAAUUGUGUCAUUGUAUCAGAGAUUUUGUCAACUCGAUCGAAGUGCGAAAGGAUUUAUAUCUGCAGAUGAGUUCUUGUCUGUUCCUGAAUUUGCUGUCAAUGCCCUGUCUCAGAGUGAGAUGUUAUCAAUUCGGCAGAGAAAAGGAUAUUCCCUUGUAUUCUUCUUUUUCAUUUGCAAAUUGACAUGACUCACGAGCCCACCUUUCACCGACCACAAAAAUUUCUCCAUUUGGCUGAUUUGUGGUUCGCGGCCUACCAAGAUGCUUCUUUUUCUAAGUCUUUAUAUGGAUUGCGAAGGAGGGAAGUGAAGAUUUCACCGGGCAAAGAUAUUCCUAAUGCCGACUCAGGUUAUCGGCUUCGACUUUCUGGAUUAGGAAGGUGUCAAAAAGUUCUCUCAGUUGAAUUUCUGGUAUAAUCUUCCUUUGCUUUUAGCAACUUAAGUGUGGAACUCUUUUUAAGGAUAGUCCGAGUUUAUUCUCUUAGAAAUGAUGACAUUGCCCUUAUUUUCCUUCAAUGCAUACUAUUUGACAUGCUAUUUGAUUGAAUAUUUAUAAAUUUCUUGUGUGCUUUUCUGUCAAAUCUGAUAUUUUUACAUUGGUA